rnacentral:lncRNA from 1 species
CUACCUUAUUAGGGAAUUGAAAAACAUAGGUUCUCUCCAUGGAACACUGCAGAAGCAUGAUGGCUAAUUCGUUUGACAAGCUGGCAGGUCAAUCAACACCCUUCAGCCUGACUGUACCAGGUCUGAGUCUUCAGGCACCUGGUCAUCUGGGUCCAGGUUGAUGCUGCAGCAUGUCUUCUAACCCGCCUACCACCAGAGGGCAGCAGCGUACAUUCACAACAAUUGUUGAGAAGUGGAAGCCGAUGAAUCUUAUGUGCAGAAGAGGACAUAGCAAAAGAAGAAGCAUUCCAUACCACCUGCGUUCAUGCCUGCCAUGCCCUGGAUUUGGGCCCCCAUCUGAACCAUCUCCUGCACAUAACCAUGCUAUCAUAAUGAGGAAUCUUGAGAUCUGUGACAAUCUCUCUCUUCUCCCCAGCCCACAGCUCCAUCACACCCUACUCUAAUCACUAAGGAUCACUCAAGAUACUUCACUGUCUUCUGUUUUUCCAAAGUCCCUAAGUCACUUUAAGACUUUCUAUGUCCUCUGUAAACAGUCACAUACUCAUGUCUGGGGCUAGGUAUACAUGUGGAGAUAAGAGUGCAAGAGACAAGAAUGAAGGAGAGAAAAGUGAGGAAGGAAAAAUAAAGAGCUAUUUAUGUGGUAGGUCUGUGUUCCCCAAACACCAUGGGAUGAUCCAAGGAUAUCCAGCAUAAGGUGUGACUUCUUCAAAAUAGCCUUGAGUGAGCAGCUUAGCCCAGAGAAGACCUAAGGAUCCAAAGCAUUGCUGCAUAUUACUCUUAUGUGCAAAGAGGCCAGGAAGCUAUCCCAGGAAAUUUCAUCACAUCCCUCAAUGGCAGAUGCAUUCUACUGAGAAGAGAGCAACGGGUUCACUUGGCAAAUAUUGCUGUCACAUGAUGUCAAUGUAUCUGCAUCUCCUAUGACUUUAACUCAUCUGGAGCACUGCCUGCCUCAGGAGCCAGCACUUUUCCAAGCUGCCACAGGUCAACCUGGUCCUUGGUUUUCCUAAAGACUCCUUAGUCUGAGGGAAUUUACUUUCCCAUACUUCUGAGACCCAAAUAACCCAUUUCCCAAAUCCAGCCAGGAAAACCAAAUGGAAAUAUUUGGGGCAUCUAUGAGAAAAUUCUCCUUCAGGUCAGCAUCACUCUGUGAAGGCCAAGUUACCCUUAUCUCAAGUCUACACCAAUGGUAAUGAAUUUUUAAUAAAAAUUUCUCAGGAGAAAUUUCUUUUACUAUGACUGGCCUUUUUGUUUAAUCUCAAAACCAGAGUUAAUAAUAUACUCUGAGGUUACUUCAGACGUAGAACAAUGCCAGUGUAUGCUUUUCCUUUGUAUAACCUGUCCUUAAGGGACUAAUGGAACAACCAACCUUACUUGCCUUGAGUUUUAAGUAACCAAUCAUUAUAAUCUGAUGUAAGGCAUAGCUGUUAUUUUAAAAUAUGUUUUUCAAUGCUUCUGACCCAGAGUGUAAUGAAUUUUUAUCUAUGUAAGUGUUACAAUGAUCACAUUUGGAAAAUGGUAAAUAGGAUAAAAGCUGUUUUUAAAAAUGAAUACCCACCACAAAUAUUGAAUAAAACAUACAAAUAGUGC